CCUACGGGAGGCAGCAGUGGGGAAUAUUGCACAAUGGGGGAAACCCUGAUGCAGCGACGCCACGUGAGUGAAGAAGUAAUUCGUUAUGUAAAGCUCUAUCAGCAGGGAAAAAAAUGACGGUACCUGAGUAAGAAGCCCCGGCUAACUACGUGCCAGCAGCCGCGGUAAUACGUAGGGGGCCGGCGUUAUCCGGAUUUACUGGGUGUAAAGGGAGCGUAGACGGGAGUGCAAGUGUGGCGUGAAAGGCGUGGGCUCAAACCCCGGACUGGGCUGGAAACGGUACGGCUGGAGUGCAGGAGAGGUAAGUGGAAUUCCUAGUGUAGCGGUGAAAUGCGUAGAUAUUAGGAGGAACACCAGUGGCGAAGGCGGCUUACUGGACUGUAACUGACGCUGAGGCUCGAAAGCGUGGGGAGCAAACAGGAUUAGAUACCCUUGUAGUC
rnacentral:rRNA from 1 species